GAUGAACGCUAGCGGCAGGCCUAACACAUGCAAGUCGAGGGGCAGCACAGAAACAGCAAUGUUUUGGUGGCGACCGGCGGACGGGUGCGUAACGCGUAUGCAACCUACCUUUAACAGGGGGAUAACGGAGAGAAAUUUCCUCUAAUACCCCAUAACAUCGAUCAAGGCAUCUUGAUUGGUUGAAAACUCCGGUGGUUAAAGAUGGGCAUGCGUUGUAUUAGGUAGUUGGUGAGGUAAUGGCUCACCAAGCCUACGAUACAUAGGGGGACUGAGAGGUUAGCCCCCCACACUGGUACUGAGACACGGACCAGACUCCUACGGGAGGCAGCAGUGAGGAAUAUUGGUCAAUGGGGGCAACCCUGAACCAGCCAUGCCGCGUGCAGGAUGACGGCUCUAUGAGUUGUAAACUGCUUUUGUACGAGGGUAAAGUGGGUUACGUGUAACCUUUUGAAAGUAUCGUACGAAUAAGGAUCGGCUAACUCCGUGCCAGCCGCCGCAGUAA
rnacentral:rRNA from 1 species